rnacentral:siRNA from 1 species
GAAACGUGGAGAGUAGAUGUUAA